GCUCAGCUCCGGGUAAAAAAGACAUUUUUGGAGAGCCUCAGAGACAAGAAAAGGAAAGUGAGAAGAGAGAAGGCAUCCUUCCUUGAGCGUGGCCAGGCCUCGUGCUCUCCCGUGGCAGAGUAGGGGCAUCCACAGCAGGGCAGGACAGAGGCGGUUCAGAAAGGAGCUCAGCGGGGGAGCCUCUGGGCUUCACUGCCCCCCGCCCCCGCCCCGGGCCUUCUGGAAACCAGACGUGGAAUGAAUAAAGGAGGCGCAGGCUGGACCAGGCCCCUCGCUCGGCUGGAGAACUGGAGGCCUCAGGUGACCGCUGCAGUUCUACUAGAGGUGUCCUCCAUCCCGUGGUGUCUGGCCCCCGGCGGUGCCGCCCUGGCCGCUCCAGGGGCAGGUGACAGCCUCUGCCGCCCGAGGUGGGGGAGCAAGGUGUCUAGGGGUGGCUCGUGGGGCCCCAGCGCUGAGCCGUCCCAGGGGAGGCCGUCCUGCGGAGGGAACCUCCCGGAGACCUUGGGAUACACGGGUCUGCGGGGCAUGCCGGUCCUGAGAGGGAGCUGGUCAAAGGGAGGUCGUUUUUGCUUUUGCGACAGGGGGUGGGGGUGGUGGUGGGGGGUGGCAGGGCCAGACACAGUGGGGGGUGCACAAGGCCCGGGCGCACCCCCAAUGUGCAGGCUAUUUCUCCGUGUCUGGGAGAAACUGGCUCAGCAGCAGGUGGAGAAGAGGGAGGCUGCGGGGGCGGGGGAGCUACAGGGAGCCCUUCCAGGGAGCUGACGGGGCUGGGGGGGUGACCCGGCCCCCCCCCCCCCCCCCCCCCGCGACUACUUAACUUCUUGAGCUGCUUCAGGUUGCUGGAGCGGAUAGCAGCCAGGAGCUGGUCGCGGGAGUUCUUCUCCUGACCGGGCAGGGCCCUGUCGCCCAUCUUCCUCUGGGUGGCCGAUGUGCCGCUGGUUGUGGAAGCGCAGCUCGGUGAGCGUGUCGUUCUGCAGGAGGGCCCGGAAGAUGGCCAGGAUGCCCUUGCCCGUGAUGUGGUUCGAGUCCAGGUUCAGGCUGGUGAUGGUCUUGUUGGCCUUGAGCAUGAUGGCGAUGGCGAAGGCCACGUGGUCGUCGGCGCGCGUGUUGGCCAGGGCGAACACCUUGACCGCCGUGUUGAACUCCAGCGCCUCGGCGAACCGGACCAGGAUCUCGUUAGUGAUGCAGUCCGAGUUGUUGACGUUCACCUCGGUCAUCUCGGGGUCGUUGUUCUUCACUCUCUCCAGGGGCUCGUCAAAUAUGCUGGGAGCCGCGUCCUCCUCCUUGGCGGGCCCUUCCGAGGCCGUCAGGGGGGCCGCCGGGCCCGGUUUCUCCGCAGCGGCGGGGCUCAGGCUCUGCUCCCCGGGCCCCUCGGCGCGGACGGGCUCCUUCUUCGCCUUCUCGUCCUGCCUCUUGGCGUCUCCUCUUCUCAUCCCCUCGUCCUCCGUCCUGGG